rnacentral:piRNA from 1 species
UGGCUGUAUUCGCGAGNAAGCAUAGGUGU